rnacentral:misc_RNA from 1 species
GUAGGUAUUGUUGAGGUCUCCGUAAAAUCUCAUAGACAGUUUAUGUCGAUGAAUAAGAUAUAUACUUUUGGAAACAGCAGGCACUGCCGAAGGUAUUCCACCGUGUGUCGCUGGGAGUCGUAAUUCCCGAAUUCCGCUUGCAUAGAGUAACUCGCCAGGGUACUAGCUUCUCUGGGAUCGCAAUGAAUUCUACCUUCUAUCACAUCCAUUUUCAGCUCUGCCGUUUGAGAGGUUUGUCCAUCUGGACCCACCGAGAGGUAGGAGCUCCGUCCCUAGAGAUGUAACUGAGGCCGAAGAACUCGGGCUGUCCGAGACCCAGCCUCUGCGUGACAUUUGUGAGACAUUCGUGCCCCAAACUCUGAAUGUCCAACGUGCACUCGAUGGAGCCAGUGUCCAACAGUUCCACGCAAAUGACGUACUGAUUCCUCGAGACCACAUUGUACUGUCGACUUUUUUUCAGGUGAAAUUUGAAUGGCAUUUUACUUCAUGGAUUGUUCCUGUUAUCGGAUGACGUGAACUCUUUCCUCUCCUCCCGACACACACGACGUGCAAGGGGUGUGUUUCACUGCUCGAGGUAUUAUUUCACAAUACAUAAAUAACCGCGACAUAAGGACGCUGGCGUUAUCUCGGAUCAACACACGUUCAGUCGCUUCACCGCGAACAUCAUCGAAAACGAGCACGUAACCAGUCUAAAAACAGUUCACCACAAAUCGCGUAGGCAUCUUAUUUUUAUUUAUCCAUGAUAUUUACGCCGGAGAUCCUACCACUUAACUAGAACAAAAACUCAACUCUUGAGCCAGAUACCAACGUCGAAGGAGAGAGGGAACUGAAAGUUUUGCGCUCUUUGUGAUUCACCACUUCGUCACCGAGCGCGCUACUAUUUUAGCGUCCGUCAACAAUGACGUCAACGGGGCGCCAAGACGUUGAAAAAUUUCGGGGAAACAUUAACGACGCUUUUAAUUAAUCCUCGUCAAUGA